GGGCUGUCCUGUGCAUUGUAGGACGUUGAGCUGCAUCCCUGGCCUCUACUCACUAGAUGCUAGUAUCAUCUGACCAGUUGUGACAACCAAAAAUGUCUCCAGACAUUGCCACACAUCUCCUGGGGGACAAAAUGACCAAAACUGAGAAUUCCUUGUCUGGAAAAUAUUUUUCUGGAUUCCAAAAGUCCAUUCUUGGAGACUCUGGGACACAUCAAGGCCAUUUGUAGCUGGAGUGGUUUUGGGUUCCUAAACUCUGCCUUCAAGAGAUGUAUUUCCUAAUUAUUCCAUCUAUUCUUUUACUUCUGCAAUCCCCAUCUGGCUGGCUUUCAUCACGUGCAUCCAAUCAGAAUCCCAAUGACAUUCUUCACAGAAAUAGAAAAAAGAAUCCAAAAAUUGAUAUGGAACAAUAAAAGACCCUGAAUAGCCAAAGCAAUCCCAAGAAAAAAGAGCAAAGCUGGAGGCAUCACAAUCCCUUACUUCAAAACAUACUACAAAGCUAUAGUAAUCAAAACAGCAUGGUACUGGCACAAAAACACACAAGUUAAUGGAGGGUCAUGUUUCUAUUUGCUGUGGGACAGUGUUAGUCAUCGGAAGCAGGAUGAUGCAAAGAUCUCUCAAGUACAAUAGUCUUUAGAUCCAGUAGAUGGCAAGACAUUUAAGUAUCUUACGAGUCAGAGCAAUGCAAAAUUCAAUUACACCUCUUCACACCACAUAAAAAUAUCUGUGAUUAUUAAUUAGUCUACUUGUUAGUUAUCUGCCUCUCCCAGUUGAGUACAAUCUCCAUGAUAAAGGCUAGUAUUUUUUUUAAUUAAGCAUUUUAUUCUGAAGUAAUUUUAGGGUUACAUGAAAUUGAAAAUACAGUAAAGAGUUCUGUGUACUCUUCAUCCAGCUUCCCCAAAGAAUAACAUUCUUAUGCAACUAUUGUACGCUAUCAAAACCAGGAAACUAACAUUGCCGUGAUACUAUUGUCUAGGCUUACAGACCUCAUGGGGGUUUCACAAGUUUACAUACACUCCCAUGUACAUGCGUGUGUGUAUACGUGUGUGGUUCUAUGAGAUUUUAUUCUAUGUAUAAAUUCCUGUAACCACCACAGC
rnacentral:lncRNA from 1 species